UACGGGGGGAGCAAGCGUUGUUCGGAUUUACUGGGCGUAAAGGGCGCGUAGGCGGCCACCGCAAGUCGAUUGUGAAAUCUCCGGGCUUAACCCGGAAAGGUCAACCGAUACUGCGGGGCUAGAGUGCAGAAGGGGCAACUGGAAUUCUCGGUGUAGCGGUGAAAUGCGUAGAGAUCGGAAAGAACACCAACGGCGAAAGCACUCUGCUGGGCCGACACUGACACUGAGAGACGAAAGCUAGGGGAGCGAAUGGG
rnacentral:rRNA from 1 species